CGGGGUGGGAUCCGACGGCCCCGGUGCUCCCGGCGCGGUCAGCUGAGCUCAGGCGCGCAGACAUCCUUUGAUUAAGGAGGGUAUUUCGGGGAGUGCAGGCUGUGCAGAAGAUCACGGCUGUGCCCUGUGGUGCUGUCAGUAGUGACAGAUCCCAGAUGGGGCCGCUACUGUAUGGCAGAUUGAGUUUCUCAGCAGAAAACUCACCCUCCCUCCUAAACGUCUUCAAAAACCUUCUGCAGAUACUCCAGGUCUCUUCGUGUGAAACUGAAAAAGUCUAACUCCAAAGUUGGUUGUGAGUGCAUGUGUGUGUAUAUGUUACGUGUUUUUUUCUUCCUUCCUCUUUUUUUCUCUGCACUUCCUCCUCCUCCUCCGAGCAUCUUCGACCCGCAGAGCUACCUGGCUGCUAUAGCGUAGAUGUGGCGGGCCUUGGGGGAUUCCUGUUCGCCUAGCUCACAGCGCCAUGCCGACGACCCAGCACCGAAGGGCCCCGAAGGCAAUCCGCACCUUAUUACCGCUCUCUCGGCCGUCUUCACGUUGAGAUCCCGGGCCCAGAGAAGCGAAGUGGGGCUUUGUCGAAAUACUGGGGGAAGAACUGGGAGUCUCUGGCCCCCUCGGCGCCGCGGUGGAGUCGGACCCGGCGAGCCUCUGCGUAACGUCAGCGCGCGGGGUAAUUUACCUUCCCUGGGCGUCUGUCAAUAUGACUAAUUUCCACAGGGGUCAAAAAGCCUUUCUCCGGCAGUCCAUCUUGGAACGCUCUCUUACGCAGUAGACGGGGUUGGUUGUUUUGUUUCCAGUCCUAGAAAUAAAUACUCUUGGGGCGUCCCUGCCAGGGCAGCCUGAGAGGAGCGGAGGAAUAUACACGGUGUCAAUUAAAGUCAGUUUUCCUUGAACUAUGAACUAUGAUUGGGCGUAAACGAGAGCGACCUGCUUGCCUGUUAAUACACAUUACCUAACUCGUCCUUGAUACCAAUGCUUUCUUUAGAAACAGAAAAUCAAAAAGGAGGAAAAUAAUCAUUGCUCCAGUUCUUCUCUGCCGCUGGCAGAUGCCUACUGAAAUAUUUGCUCUGCAUUUCAGUGUGUAACUUAAACUUAGAGUAUGUGCGCGUGUCUUGUUAAUCUGACCUAGAAAAACAGUAAAUAUAUUAUCCGAGUGGUGUUUUACAAUAAUUUUUAAACUGCUACCAACUUGUAAGUGUGAAUCAGAGCUGUGGAGUUAAUUAAACAUUCUCUGGGACUCACCAGAAGCGGCUAAUUGAUGCUGGUAGCAUAACCCGGACACCCUUUGAGGAGUGCGCGGACGGAAGCCUGCAUGGCUAGCGGGUCAGGACGAUUCUGUCUGCAAAGUCCUCUCUUGCAUGCAGCAGGGAGUGGGGAGAUGAAGAGCACUGGCCCCUGAGGGCACCCAGUUGGGUCCCUUGGGUCUUGGAGGAGGUAAACCUCUCCAAUCUGGGGAAUUGGGGUCCAGCGAGAAGUGAAAGUCGCCAAAUAACCCAUUUUUCUCCCACCCAAGUUCAGACACUGAGGCCCCAACUAAUAUACUUCUCCGAGUUAAAUUUUUAACAAACCCUCUGGAAAAAACACGUCCCCACCCCACUUCUAAAGCAAGUAAAUGCCUGGAUUUGGAGCAAUUCAGAGCCUCAGGGAAACCCACGGGAAACCUAAGAGCUAAGAUAACCAAGCAGAAGCCUAGGAAGCCUCACAGAGGGCCGUCUGAACUCUUGGUCCCUGGCUGCUGCCCACGCACGUGGGUGACACACAGCCCCACCACCUCCCCCCACAGCCCGACCUCCUUACCUGCUCUGCCAUUCUGGCCACAUGCAAGCGCGCGCACACAGACACACACACACACACACACACACACACACACACCUCUUUCCCUCUCUCAUCUGUUAGUGCAUUUAUGACCUAAUGAAAGUAUAUCCUUUAGGGAAAAGACUGUCUAUAAAACUUGAAAUAUGAAGAACCCAUUUGGAUAUUCCCACUCCAGGCCAGGCCUGAACUUGAAGUUUUUUAGCACAAACACCUUGACUCCUUCUGUUGCUUCUAUAAUCACCCUGUUAUUUUUACUAAACGAUGAGAAUUGGUUCUAAGUGACCUCUGCUCAUUUCCUGUGGAAGGAGAAAAGUCUCCAACCUGAGAAUAUAUCUUUUUUUGUUGGAAGGCAUUCUUUAGGGCGAGGGGAGAAUUAAUUUUACUUUCUAUCCCUUGUCAUCUUGGAAAAACCCUGACACCAUAUGUUCCAACCUCUGCAAACAGCUGGGGAAACCAAGGACUCUUUCAACUCCCUUCCAUUUCCUUCCUGCCCCACCAUUUCCCCCAGUUGCCACCUUUUUGGGUUUUACAAAUGUUAAUCCAUUCUUUCUGCUGGUCGAUUUGUGAAAUACCUACAAGUUUCCAACAUAAAUGAGUGCCCUUUGGAAAUCCUAUUGAUAACCAUCCACCUUUGUGGGAAAAGGCAAUCUGAUUUUGUGUUUUGGGGAGGGUCUGUUUAUUGCCACAUAUGAAUAGAACAGAUAUUAUUUCCCUGUGAUUUAAUAUAUAGCAUACCUUUAAAUAAGACUGUUAAGUCUCUUCUAUUUUCCAAUUUGACCUCUCGCUGUAAGAGUGCUUUAAGUUGUUUAUUAGCUGAGACUAUGCAACAGGAAAAGCUGCAGGAGAAAUAAACAAAAGAAUGAGCUGAAGAACUCUGUCCUUUGGUGGAACUGAUUUGUUUAUUUGCAUAUUUCUUGAAAGGGAAACCAGUUCUAGCUUAAAAUCUUUUGGCAUCCAGGAGCCAUUUAAUGACCUGUGGGUAGAGGGGGUCGAUUGUUCAACACCCUGCUGAGUUGAUCCCUUUGUUUCUGAGUUUACAUCAUGAAAGGAGUUUACAUCAUUACUCCUCCUUGUUUUAUUUAGACUUAAAACAAAAGUUUCAAUAGUAACAAGAACUUUUACACCUAGGAAAGCCUUGGGAAGCGCGCAAAGUGCUUAGUCUGCGCAAAUUUAAGAGGAUGUGCGUGAAGGGGAGUGCUCUGAGAGGCAGCCAUUUCUAGGGAAAAAGGUCUUGUCCUCCUUGUAACAACAACAACAAAAAGGCUAUUUUCAAACCUCUAUUAGACAAUGUCAAUCUUUCUUUUUAACUGUAUUCUAGCUUGGCCUUUCCGCUUGGGACUGAGGGCUCAGCCAGUUCUCCAAGUCUAUGAUCCUAGCCCUUAACUGUAGGAGCAAAUGACUUUCAAUUGACAAGCCUCCCCAUUUGGGAAGAUGAGGGGGGAGAGGAAUAGUGUGCAUUUUGCCUCACCUAAGACUUUAUGCUUCUGUGAACAAAUAUUAUUUUCUAGUCUGAUUUUCAACUUAUGACCCAUUGAGCAAAGCAGAAAGUUAUUGCAUGUUCUUCAAUCCCGUAUCUUCGGUAGGUAACAUACUCCUCCUCAAUAUGUGGCAUUAUGUGUAAAUAUAUUUAGCAUCUAGUCUCUCAUAUAUAUUCUAAUCAGAUUAAUUUUUCAUAAACAGGCAGUAAUUCACAUGCUUUAAAAAUAUACAAAAUGUACAUGUGGAAAGUCUCUCCAGUUGCCUCACUCACUGUGAUUCAUUUCUUAUGCAUUUUCUCAGAGCUUCCUAAUGAGUAGAAAAGCAAAUAUCAUCUCUAUGAGACAGGAGUGGGGAGAAGCCCAAAGUGUAAGAAGAGAAAUUGGUAUGCAUGGAAGACAUGGAUACUUAGCAACUCUCUCUCCUGGCACUCAACUGCACACACAGAGAAAGUCAUGGCUAUGGAAUAAUGCCUAUAGAAUUCUAGAAUAAUGCAGGUUUCUCCAGUUAUAUCUGUUCUACUGAUACGGGGAGAGAAGAAGGAAGGUGUCCUGGAAGCUUUUAAGAGCCUCAUAUCAAAUAUAAUUUGGGCAAGGUGUGAGAUUCCACCUGACUGAAAUUUCAAAUAUCUGGGAAUGAGAAGAUGGGGCACAUGUGAAAUUAUUAAUCCCGAGAGCUCCAAAUGGAUUGUCUUUUCUCUGUAGCUGAGGAACCAGAAUAAGAAAAAAGGGAGAAAGAAGUAAAAGAAGCAAGUAGGAAGAGUGAGAUCAAAUUCUGUCUAGAGUUGUGGGAAUGUGGCCCCUCAUUUUUUGUGUGCGUCCCCUCUCUCCAACUCAAACUGAAAAGGUCUAAAUUGUUCUGAAUCAUAUAAGCCAUAAAUAAACCUUCUCCUAUUGUAAGAGAGGGCCAUGUUCUAGUCCAUAGAUGGUUUAUAUGGGUUAUAAUGGAAUGAGGUGGGGGGUUGGGAAAUACACAUUUGUCAUAAAACAAUUGAGACAAAUUUUGCACUAUAAUAACUAUGUAUACAUUUGAUAGACCCCAGACAUUUUGCCCUUUACAGUUCAAAAAGGCAUGAAGGUAAAUCAUUCACUAUACAGAGCAAGUGACACCUUCAUUUAUAUCAGUG
rnacentral:lncRNA from 1 species